rnacentral:rRNA from 1 species
UACGUAGGGGGCGAGCGUUGUCCGGAUUUAUUGGGCGUAAAGAGCUCGUAGGCGGCUUGGCAAGUCGGGUGUGAAACCUCUAGGCUCAACCUGGAGACGCCACUCGAUACUGCCAUGGCUAGAGUCCGGUAGGGGACCACGGAAUUCCUGGUGUAGCGGUGAAAUGCGCAGAUAUCAGGAGGAACACCGGUGGCGAAGGCGGUGGUCUGGGCCGGCACUGACGCUGAGGAGCGAAAGCGUGGGGAGCAAACAGG